rnacentral:rRNA from 1 species
CCUACGGGAGGCAGCAGUGAGGAAUCUUCCACAAUGGGCGAAAGCCUGAUGGAGCGACACCGCGUGAAGGAUGAAGCCUUUGUUGGUGUAAACUUCUUUUCUCUUGGAAGAUAAUGACGGUACAAGAGGAAUAAGGGGCGGCAAACUUCGUGCCAGCAGCCGCGGUAAUACGAGGGCCCCAAGCGUUAUCCGGAAUUACUGGGCGUAAAGCGUCUGUAGGUGGUUUUUUAAGUUUCGUAUGAAACUCCAGGGCUCAACCCUGGAUUGUGCGAAAAACUGGGGAACUUGAGUGUGGGAGAGGCAAGCAGAACGGUAUGAGUAGGGGUGCAAUCCGUUGAUACAUACCAGAAUACCAAAAGCGAAGGCAGCUUGCUGGAACACUACUGACACUGAGAGACGAAAGCGUGGGGAGCGAAAGGGAUUAGAUACCCCUGUAGUCCACGCCCUAAACGAUGGAUGCUAGGUGUUGGACGUAAGUUCAGUGCUCAAGCUAACGCAUUAAGCAUCCCGCCUGAGGAGUACGGCCGCAAGGUUAAAACUCAAAUGAAUUGACGGGGGCCCGCACAAGCAGUGGAUCAUGUGGUUUAAUUCGACAAUAAACGAGGAACCUCACCUAGGCUUGACAUUGAUAGAAUCCACCAGAAAUGGAGGAGUGCCCGCAAGGGAGCUUGAAAACAGGCGCUGCAUGGUUGUCGUCAGCUCGUGCCUUGAGGUGUUCGGUUAAGUCCGUUAACGAGCGCAACCCACGUCGUUAGUUACUAUGUCUAACGAGACUGCUUGAGUUAAUCAAGAGGAAGGUGUGGAUGACGUCAAAUCAGCAUGGCCCUUAUGCCUAGGGCUACACACAUGAUACAAUGGUCGGUACAAACAGUCGCAAUACAGUAAUGUGGAGCCAAUCUGAAAAAGCCGAUCUCAGUCCAGAUUGGGGGCUGCAACUCGCCCCCAUGAAGUUGGAAUUGCUAGUAAUCGUAAAUCAGCUAUGUUACGGUGAAUCUGUUCCCGGGUCUUGUACUCACCGCCCGUCAAACCAUGGGAGGUGUGCGUACCUUAAGCCCUUCGAGCAAUACGGAGGUCCACGGUAAACACACUGACUGGGGUUAAGUCGUAACAAGGUAUCCGUACGUGAACGUGCGGAUG